rnacentral:rRNA from 1 species
UACGUAGGGUGCAAGCGUUGUCCGGAAUUAUUGGGCGUAAAGAGCUCGUAGGCGGUUUGUCGCGUCGAAUGUGAAAUCCCGGGGCUCAACCCCGGGUCUGCAUUCGAUACGGGCAGACUAGAGUUCGGUAGGGGAGUCUGGAAUUCCUGGUGUAGCGGUGAAGUGCGCAGAUAUCAGGAGGAACACCGGUGGCGAAGGCGGGACUCUGGGCCGAUACUGACGCUGAGGAGCGAAAGCGUGGGGAGCAAACAGG